UGGGCCAGAAAAGUGUUCCGUGACCGCAGGGCAGGGUGAAGCGAGCUGGCGUGUCUGAGGGUAAGUGUGAUGAGGUAAUGAGCCUGCGGGGUGGGGCUCAGGUUAGCUGGUGCUGAGGUGUCCUGUCACUGGGUGUCCGGCCGGGGGCUGCGGCCGUGGCCUUCCCUUUCACGGCCCAGGGCCUUCCCUGCCAGCAUCUUGCUGCAGCCUGCUCGCGGCUGUUGGUUCUUGGUGCAUAUUCAGAAUACUUGCUCUCCUACUUGGGGUUAGAGUUCUCCCCAACUUAAUGAUUUCUCCUGCACCCAGGGAGAGCCUGCUGCGAAAAAGGCCCGAUCAAAUCCUCAGGUGUACAUGGACAUCAAGAUUGGGAACAAGCCAGCCGGUCGCAUCCAGAUGCUCCUGCGUUCAGACGUUGUCCCCAUGACGGCAGGUGAGUGGGACUUCAGGCAGGAUGCCGGUGGCUGAGCAGUGGCCUUCCCAAGGUCCUCGCUGCC
rnacentral:lncRNA from 1 species